rnacentral:rRNA from 1 species
GCCUGCUAGCCGCAGUAUUUUGACUGUGCUAAGGUAGCAUAAUCAUUCGUCCUUUAAUUGUGGGCUGGUAUGAAGGGUAUGAUGAGGGGGUAACUGUCUUUGAAAUUCAUUUUUAUGUGAAAAAGCUUAAAUGAUUUCAUAGGACGAUCAGACCCUGUGGAGUUUAUUGGUUGGGGCGACUAUAAAUGACCCCCUUUGUGGGAUUAAAAGAUAAAGUUACCCCAGGGAUAACAGCGUAAUUUUUUUGGAGAGUUCAUAUCGAUAAAAGAGUUUGCGACCUCGAUGUUGGAUUGAGAGAUCAGCAGGGUGUAGAAGUUCUGUUGGAAAGUCUGUUCGACUUUUAAAUUCUC